rnacentral:rRNA from 1 species
AGUGAACGCUGGCGGUAGGCCUAACACAUGCAAGUCGAACGGCAGCACAGUAAGAGCUUGCUCUUACGGGUGGCGAGUGGCGGACGGGUGAGGAAUACAUCGGAAUCUACUUUUUCGUGGGGGAUAACGUAGGGAAACUUACGCUAAUACCGCAUACGACCUACGGGUGAAAGCAGGGGAUCUUCGGACCUUGCGCGAUUGAAUGAGCCGAUGUCGGAUUAGCUAGUUGGCGGGGUAAAGGCCCACCAAGGCGACGAUCCGUAGCUGGUCUGAGAGGAUGGCCAGCACACUUGGAACGGAGAAACGGUCCAGACUCCUACGGGAGGAGGCAGUGGGGAAUAUUGGACAAGGGGCGCAAGCCUGAUCCAGCCAUACCGCGUGGGUGAAGAAGGCCUUCGGGUGGUAAAGCCCUUUGUUGGGAAAGAAAAGCAGCAGGUUAAUACCCCGCUGUUCUGACGGUACCCAAAGAAUAAGCACCGGCUAACUUCGUG